UACGGGGGGGGCAAGCGUUGUUCGGAAUUACUGGGCGUAAAGGGCUCGUAGGCGGCCAACUAAGUCACACGUGAAAUCCCCAGGCUUAACCUGGGAACUGCGUGUGAUACUGGAUGGCUUGAAUUCGGGAGAGGGAUGCAGAAUUCCAGGUGUAGAGGUGAAAUUCGUAGAUAUUGGGAAGAACACCGGUGGCGAAGGCGGCUCUCUGGACCGACACUGACGCUGAGGCGCGAAAGCGUGGGGAGCAAACAGG
rnacentral:rRNA from 1 species